UUGAUGGGUCAGAGAAUUCAUUUGUUAAGGUGAACAUAAAGAAGGAAGAGACGAGUUCAGGAGAAUCACCCAGAAAGAGUUAUUUAAAAGCUGUUAAAGAAGUGGCAAAGACAGAGAAAGAUGCUCAGAUAAGACUGAAACUGUAUGAGCCAUCAGAAUUUCAUGUGGUGAAUCCAUUGAAGAAGACAAGGGUAGGGAACCCUGUGGGGUAUAAAUUGGUUCCAGGUGGCACAGCAGCUAGCCUGCUGGAUCCAGAAGACCCACCACAGAAAAGAGCAGCCUUUACCAACAAUCAGAUAUGGGUCACUCCAUACAACAAGACUGAGCAAUGGGCUGGUGGCUCAUUCGUUUACCAGAGCAAAGGAGAUGAUACUCUUCAAGUCUGGUCCAACAGGUUACACAUUCUUUUCAUCAUUCUACCUUUUUUUAUGUCAUGUUUCAAUGUCAAUUCUAUAAUCAUGAAUAAUGUCACAUUUGCUGAAAUAUAAAUAGUUGAAGUACAUGUAGAUCCAUAACUUUAGAAAUCAGAACCAUUAACCAUUAAGAAAAAACUGAACAAACCUCGUCAAGACGGUAAAUGACUUUGAUAUCAUAUUAUAAAAUAGAUUCUAAAUGAUUUUGAUAUCACAUUAUAAAAUAAACUCUAAAUGACUUUGAUAUCAUAUUAGAAAAUGUACUUUACACCUAAUUCAAUUUUACAAAAUCAACUUAGAACCACUUAUAUGCUAUAAAAUGUUAUUAUCUUUAAUCGACAUGAGAUCUUAGAAAUGAGAGAAAAAUAGUUGAAAUUCAUGUAGAUCCUUCACUUAAGAAAUAUCUUAGAAAUGAGAGAAAAAUUAGUUGAAAUUCAUGUAGAUCCUUCACUUAAGAAAUAGGACCACUAAAUUUGAAGUCAGAGACAAAUAGUUGAAAUCCUUGUAGAUCACCACUUUAUAAAUAGGAUCACUAAAUUACAAACGAGAGACAAGUAAUUUUACCAAGUAUAGAGUGUGCUGAAAAAGAAUGCUAGAGUACGUGUUGGGAGAGGUGAGAGUCAUGAAUGCAUAUGCGUGUUCAUGAGGAAUUACUCUUUAUUUGGAGAUAUACAACUCAUACUUACAUGUCAUUCUCAUUAUAUGUUGGCAAAUAAGAAUGGAGAACAAUUUAAAAUCAUUGUUUGUGAGGUAUACAACCAGAGAUAAUUCAGGAAAACUUUGGUUUAUCAUUUCAUAUCUUGUGUCGUCAUGGAUCAGUAAAAGGAAAGAUGAACUUUCGUGUACUCAAAAAACAUAGGUUGGAGAAAGUGCUCACUCACCAAAUGCUGAACUUUUUUACCAGUGAAGACAUCAUGUUAAAUUCUGAAAGUGUUUGAUGUUUGAUAUGCAGGGAUCGUCCAAUUGAGAAUAAGGACAUAGUUUUGUGGUACACAAUAGGAUUUCAUCACAUACCAUGUCAAGAGGACUACCCUAUUAUGCCUACUGUGUCAUCAAGUUUUGAUUUGAAGCCUGUUAAUUUCUUUGAGAGAAAUCCAAUUCUUGGAGUUCCUCCCAAUUUGGAUGAAGAUUUACCUGUUUGCAAGGCUCAUGAUUCAGCUUGAGAUUCCAUUAGAUGCAUGCUUUAUUUAUACAUGAACAAAAUGGGUAUGCCCAAAACUCAUAUUUAAAUAAUUAGUUUGGGCAGCCAAAAUUGGACUAUCAUGUUAAAUUUCUAGAAUGUGACUCCAAUCCCAAUGUAUAUCAAAAUUACUUUUUCCCUAUUUAGUUAUAACAUUCUUGCCUUUUCUUUAUGACAAACAUAAAUAUGUGCCAAAAAAUGUAAUGAAGAAGUAAAUGUUUUUUAUAAGAUCUUCAAAGCAUAUGAAAUAUAUUAAGGUUCUGUUCUAAUCAGAUGACCAUUUCACUAAACCAUAAAAAAAAAGCAUAAGUAAAUAAAAAGAAGGUAUAGUGUGCAGAAUACACCUCUCAUAUUGAGAGUUUUUUUUCAUAUCAAAAUGAAGUUUUUAUACUCCACUCAAGAAAAGACUUAGUUGAAAGUUAGCUUGUAUAUUUAAUUGGUUAUUUAAAAACAUAAUAGUUGAAACAAGAUGCAUAACAGGAGAACUUAUAAUUUUGAAUUGUAAAUUGUUUCAUAUUAUGAAUAAUAAUAUUCAUAAAUAUUUAAAAUAUUUAAAUAUAAAAUAUAUAAAUAUGUAAAGAUACUUCGAUCUUAGCAACUCAAUCUAAAAAAAACAUAGUUAUUGUUGUACAUAAUGAUUAAUGAUUAUAUGUUACUAAAUAAAAGAUUUUGUGUUAUAAUCAUUAAAAAAAAAAUAAGUGUUAGUUGAUUGCUAGUGCAUAAUAGAUAUAACUCUUUUUUUAGAAGGAGUUCACACCCGUGUAACCCGUCUUAUUUCACAUAAUCAUAAUAGGUUACAUAAUUAUAAUAGGUUGGGGUCAUGCAUAUUUUCACAAGAUAUUCAUGAAAUUGUUGAUGGUGAUCCAUCAAUACCAAUUGUGACUAUAAUUUGACAUAUCAAGUCCUUUUGGGGCACACUUUGACAUAUAAAAAGGUUUGGUUGGCAAAGUAUGAAGUCGUUGUAAAGAAAACCUGCCAACCUCACACAACCAUACAAUUAGGAGGAUGAAGACCUGUUUAUUGAUUUAACUGUAAAUAUGGAUCUAAAUGAGGCUUUUUUUUUUAUUUUUGUAGGCCCAAUCAAGAGGACAACUUUAAGGUGAAAGAAUGUACAAACAUAUCCAAGAAGCCCUUCAAGUUAUCAAAAUAUAAACUAGAGUUUUGGUUAGAAGAACACAAGAAGACUGAGUUUUGCUAACUAGUCUACAUUAUUUUCUGGUCAAGCUUUAGCUUAAAUAAAUUGUAUAAAGUUGUUUAGAAUUUUAUGGGUCAUGUAUUGGGCCUAGUAGCAUAAAAUAAUGGCUUCUUCUUCCUGCACCCCUACGUUUUUCUUCCUGUACCCCCAUAAUUUUGUAAAUCCCAAAACUAACCUUCACCUUUUACUUGAAAAACUAGAGUUUUUUAGGUUACUGGAUAUCGGGAUCUGGGAGUGUGCUACGGAUUCAUUAAUCCGGAAGUGAUUCGUGUUCUUUUUCAAAUAAAAGGGUGUUUCGAAAGCACCUUGUUGAUUUCUGGAUUGCUGAAUCCAGAAGUCUAUUUUUUGUUACGGAUUGAUGGACCCGGAAGAUUAACGGAUUCACCAAUCCAGAAGAUUUAUGGAUUUUCCAAUCCGUAAGAUUUACAAAUUUAUCAAUUCGAAAGAUUUAUGGAUUUCCCAAUCUAGAAUGCAAAAAAGUAAAUGCGGAUUUCCCAUUUCGUAAAAUUACCGAAUUGCAUUGUCCGGAAGAAGAAAAAGUAGUGUGGAUCUUAUGUGCAUUUUGGGGUUUUUAAAAAAUAAUAGGGAUAUUUUUGUCUUUGCAUUACAUUGUGGGGGUGCAGGAAGAAACUGCCUAAAAUAAUUGGACCAAAUAUUUGGGCCAAGUAGUAUAGGUUUUUGGGCUUGUAUUUGGGUCAAUAGCAAAAUAUGACUAGUUAAGGUUAAAAAUGACUAGUUAGGGUAACAAUUGGGCUUCUUUGAGCCUAAUGUAACCCUAAAACGUCUAGGGAAUAAUGAAGAACGAAAAUACCUUGGCAUGGAGCACAUAUUGAGAAUGUUUACGUCAAUUGGGAAGAAUCAUUCCAAAAAUUGUCCAACCUAUAGCAAGUCAUGGAAAACUUUGCUCUUGAUUUCAAGUAACGAAUGACAGCAUAACCAAUAUAUUAUGGCGAGAAGUUAGUUCAAGAGAAAGUCUACUUCAAGAUAUUGUUAUGGACCUUCAAGCCACGCAUUAAUGGGUUUCGGUUCUACAAACCACUGGUACAAGUUGAUAACACACAUUUCUCUAUAGCAAAUACAGAGGCAUCCUCGCAGUCGGAGUGACACAUGAUGAGAAGAAAACAUACUCUUGAUCACCUUUGUUGUGGUUGACGGUGAAACAAUUGAAGCUAGUUUUUUCUUUCUAAACACCCUAAGUAGGUAUAUGAUGACUAUUUUACGGCAAGUGUACCGUGUCAGAAGUAAUAAAUUUGUCUCUAAGAACGAAUAUCAAAUCCACAAGGAACAAUUGAUUUUUCAAGCAUAAUAUUCACUAUAUAAAAAACAAUAUCUAAAAUUGGUUGGAAGUUUGUUGUGUAUGACAUUGCAAGAAUGUAAAUAAAGCAAAGUAAAUAGUUGUUUGAUUCAAUUGAGAAAAUUGGGAUUGAGAUUCAUCAUUCUCACUCGUAUGUACUUUUGCAAAAGAUUAUAAUUUUCAGUCUUGAUUGUUAUUGAUGCACUUACAAAAAUUAUUCAUAUCAAUUCCUUGUUUACAAAAUUAUUAAGAGAGUCUUCUAAAUAUUGAUUCCUCACAUAUUUAUAAAGUUCCUUAUCAUUACGAACAACUGUUAUAAAGAAAUUAACAUUUCAAAUCUAUUCAUAACAUUCAAAUAUGUUAAACAUUAUCAUUUAGGUAAGAUUCUUAAAAAUACUUUCUAGUCAGAUCUAGGGAUCAAAAUCAUGAAAAAUUCAAGGUUUUAGAAUAAAAUUAUAACUCAUUCUUGAUUGAUAUUGACGCACUUAUAAAAAAGAGUCUCCUAAAUAUUGAUUCCUCGCAUAUUUAUAAAGUUCUUUAUCAUUACAAACAGAUGUUAUAAAGAAAUUAACAUUUCAAAUUUAUCCCUAGCAUUCAAAUAUAUUAAACAUUAUCAUUUAGGUCAUAUUAUUAUAACUAAUAUCAAGUCAGAUUUAAGGAUCAAACUCAUGAAUAAUUCAAGGUUUGAGAAUAAAAUUAUAAUACCAAUUAUCAAUCAAGAACUAAAAUAUUAUAGAUAAAUAUCACCUCAAUACAUAAGAGUUUGAACAUAUUACUUUGAAUUCCAAAGGGAAGUAUUAGUCAUUCAUGUUGACCAUUACAAGCAUGGAAAACAAGAAAAAAAGAUCCAGGAUGUUUCUCAUUGACAACUCCUCUUCUAGGGUUUUCUAUCUUCUUUUAUUCUCCCAAUGAUGUUUAGGGUUAUGUCUCACGCCUCAUAUUUAACUUAGUUGAGCUUGGGUCAAGUGACUUCUUGCUUAGGCGAGUUAUUACUUGCUUGGGUGAGUUUGACGAGAAAAAACCCAACUUCUCUAGAGUGAACUCGUCUGGGCAAGCCUUGGCCGAAUUGCUCUAGAGUGAUCUUGCAUGGGUGAGUUCGGACGAGUUUUGAAUAUUCCAACUUUCCCUUUUCGUCUGGUCUAUUCUCAUUUAGCCCUUUCACCUCCAUUUUUGCAUCUAAUCCUAAAAUUAAUACAAAUUUGGGAAUAAAUCGUUGUUAUUCAUAUUAUAAUCAUAAAAUAUGUAAAAAAGUUUAAAUUAAUAAAUUAGGAGUUAAAUUAUAGUUAUUUUAUAAAUAAAUAUUCAUAAGUGUAUGUUUUUUAAUAUGAAAUAUUACUGAAAUAUGACACUUAUCAGUAUGCCACACCUCGGGAUGGAUUGUGCUUAAUUUCAUACUGUCACAACUCCAUUCAUAGUGCAUACACAAGAGAUGAGAGUGGAUAGAAUGAAGGUAACUCGAUGCAUUGCAUUGCAUUGGACACAUUGCACAAAAGUUCACGAGGCGGUUCAAGAAUGCAACACUUAAUAAAGACCUUGUAAAUAUGGGUAGACACUUAUUCUUUCAAAACAACAUUGUUAAAUUAAAUGUAUCACUUUGUAACUUAACUCGUUUGCUUUUAUAUGCAACAUAUAUAAUGACAGAGCCUUGCGUAAACUACUUUCGCAAUAUAAUUAGUAAAGUCAAUUUAUAAGCAACAAAUUGAAUUGACAAAAUCCGUAGAGGUACUUGCAUGGGAUGAAGGUAGAUGAUGAGGUCACUUGACAAUCAACAUAGUUGAAUUCAUCAAUUCAAUCCUAACAAAAAGGAAUCUUAUGAUAUUAUCCACAUUCAUUGCUACAUAUACCAAAUUGAACAAACUUUUACAUAAAGAUGGAUGAAAGUGAUCACGAUAAUUAAUGUUGAUUAUGUCUAUUCUAAAGUUUCAUCAAAGACAUUAAAAUAUUCUUAUUCAAAAUUAAACACUCACAAAGUGUUUGAAUUUGACAAAAGCAACACAAGGUUAUUGGUCAAGGAGAUGGUCAACCCAAUAAAGGUUUGACUAGCUGAAAAAUUUAGGUGAUGUGAUUGUGGGAAGUUCUUGAAACUUCACAUAUCAUGUUGCAUGCCAACACGUACAUCAAUCUUGUGUACAUGUUGGGUGAAGUGAAUAAAGUCUACGACAAUUUGAUUUAUGAUUUUAGACACAAAAAUUACUAGCCAACACAUGAAGGUUCACAAGUUUGUUUCAAUCCAACAACAACAAAAAAAGUCUAAAAGUCAUUCAAAAUCAUCAAAAACUGAAAUGAACAUUAAGAAAUAAAGUUGUCCAAAGCGAUGAUUUUAUUGUCAAACAUCAAGAUACACAAUAAAUGAUUGUUUCAACAACCUUGGUCUGUAAUGAUAAACUUUCCAUCAGUAAUACAUAUUAACAUAAAAAUGAAUAAUAAAUCAUUUACUUAUACAUAUGAUUUUAUAUCAAAUCCAAAUUUAUCUUUAAAUUUAUUUAUUUGUUUUAUUUAAUUAUACUUAAAUACUUAUGUAUAUUAUUUAUUUUAAUUAAGCAUGAAAUUAUCAAAACUUUAUUGUUAAAUGUUUUACAUUUACAAGCUUUUUACAACUAACAAUGCUCUUAUUUCAUAGAAUCACAAUAGGUUAGAGUCACACAUAAUUUCACAACAUAUUUGUGAAAUUGUGAAUGUUAUCCAUCAAAACCAUUUAUGACUAUAAUUGAACAUAUAAAAUCUUCCAAGAGGAUACACUUGACAUAAUAAAUGUUUGGUUGGCAAAGCAGCAACUUGUUGAGAAUGUUUACAUCAAUUUGAAAGAAUCAUUUUACAAAUUGUCCAACCUAUUACAAGUCAUGUCAAACUUUGUUUUUUAUAUUUCAAGUACCCACUAACAACAUAACAUGUUAUGGCCAUGAAUUAGUUCAGGACAAAGUUUACCUAAGAGUUGUUAUGAACCUUCAACAUGCAUUAAUGAGUUUUCUAAUUUCUUCUAUCAUAUUUAUUAAACAUAAAUUUUUAUUUAUUCACAUUUUCAUAUGUUAAAUAUAAUUACACAAUAAAAAGAAUUAACUUUCUUACUUAAUCAAUUUUUUCAUUAAUCUUUUAGGUGCAAUUUUUUUUUAUUAUUUACAAUUUUUUUAAAUAACAUUUAAAGAUUUUAUAUUUGAAUUACUUGUUUAAUUUAUUGCUAGGUUUUCUUUAUUUUCUAUUUUUUAGUUUAAAAUAAAUCAAAAUGUAUACUACAUAUUUUAAUUCAACACAAAAUUAAAUAAAUAAUUUUAUAAAUAUUGAUUUUUAUAAAAGGAUUUUAAUAUAUAUUUUCUACACACAAAAAAUUAACACAUAAUUUUAUUUAAAAAAUAUUUUGCAAAAAAUAUUUUGCAAAUAAUUAGUUUAAGAAUUAUUUUUUAAUAUAUAUAUAUAAAUAUUAUUUCACAAAAUAAUCAGUUUUCCAAAAAAAAUUAAAAAUGUAUAUUUUUCUAAAUAAUCAGUUGUCUAAAUUAUUAUUUUUCAAAAUGAACAUUUUUCUACAUAAUCUAUUUUCUGAGUAAUUAUUUUUUAUUUUUUAUUUCUAAAUUUGUUCUCUUAAUUUUUAACAACAACAAAAAAAAGAAAAUAUUAAACUAUUCCAAAAUUCAGUUCUUCAAUAAUUAAAUUCCGACCGGUAAUGUCUGGUACAUGUUACUCUUGUGAGUCACUAUCUCACAACCAUUCACUUAAUAACUACUUUUGUAAUAACUACUUUUAUAUAUUAUAUUAAAAUAAAAAUAAUAAUAAAUAUAAAUAAAACAUUAAAUGAUGGUGUGAAACCAUCGUCACCCUUUUGAAAAAGGAAAGUCUCCCAGUUGGGACAAAAUUACCAAUAUCAUACACCAUUUCUCAUUAAUAUAAAGUUCAUUUCUCAUUAAUAUAAAGUUUUUAUAUCUUCUACAUACCCUUCUAUUACUUCAUAUCACUUAUUUAAUAUAAUAUUUAAGACACUUAGACAGUAAUUAUUCAUUUAAUAUUAUAUUUAAAAUAUAUAAAUCAGAUUAUAAAUUGGUUAUAAGUUAUUAGCGAUUCUAAAUUACUUUUAUGAAAUUCAUUUAUAUUUUAUGAUGAUGAUUCAAUAUUUUUCUUAAUGGUAUGAGUCAACAAGACCUAUAAAUAGUUGAUGACUCUAUUGGUAAGAGGACACACUAAACUCUAUUAUAUACUCCUACUCUUAACUAUUUGUUAUGAAUUUAUUAUCAUCUUUUUGCUCCUACUUAAGCAUAUGAGAGUCUUUGCAGGUGGACCUCCCUCUCUCAUUGGAGACCGCACCCAGUCCUCACUAAGUUGCACUCUCCGAACUCAGAUGUUUUCCUGGUGUUAUUGACGGAACAACUCUAAAUUCUGAAGCACCUAUUUAUAAAAUGUUUCUACAAAGUGUUUUUAGACACCCUUGAUUAAGAUUUCGAGCAGUGUCUUCAUUGGUAUAUUUUGCUACCUCAUACCAAACUGUUAGAUAACUCACCAAGAUCAAAUAGUCAUUGGAUCAACAAUACUAAUCCAGGUUCAGACACGAACAUCGACAAAACUUUAUCAAUCUUGAACUAAUUAACAGACAUUACUCGAAAUCAAUGGUCGACCUAGGCUUGUGUACGUACUAGCCAUAAGAUUGGGAAUGCCAAAGAGUUAGGGUGAUUGUAUGCAUCCCUUAACCAAGCAUUUAUUGCCAAUGACCAUCAUGAGUAAAACGACCUAAUCAAUGAGUCUUAAAUGUAGUGAAUAAUAGUUAUGCGACUAAUCCAAAGGACUCAUAACGGUCCAUCCGGAGACCAACUAAAAGCUCGUUCCAUGAGGAACGAGUCCUCAUCGAGUUGCACUACUUGAGUUUAUUUUCGGUAGAAAUAUAUCUAAUUUUUUUCUAAUAACUUUACUUUGCGAAACUUCUACAAAUAAAUUAAUACGAUGUCUUUAUCUCUGAAUUAGUUGUCAUAUCCAACCACUUUCAAACUAUGAGGCCUGUACAUGCCUCUUAAAUAUCAGACAUCGACACUCGUAGAACAUGUAUUGAUGAAGUGUCUAAUUCAAAAAAUAUUUGUUGAAUUUAUGACGAUUCUACCACGAUUCUAACACAAUUUUAAAAAGGAGAAAUACUGGUAAAAAAACUGGAAUAUAUUUGUACAUAUAAAUCUUUAUUAUCAAUUUAUAUAAUUUAUAAAUUCGUAUCCAUAUCCGAUAUCCGUAACGUAUGAGUAUCCGUAUGACUAUGUAUGAUAUAUGGGUUAUGAUAUUUUGAUACCUUGCUCCAUCUUACAUCCACAAUAAAUACUAAUAUUUAUAAUAAAAAAAUUAAAAAAGAAGAGAAAAAACCUCCUUAAUAAAAAUACAAACAAAAUGCAAAAUAUUUUAAAAUUAAAAAAUUUAUAAUUUUUAUAAAUAAUUAAAGUAUUAAUAUUUAUUAGGGCGUAGGUUGAAAGAUGGGUGAAAUAAAUUUUUUUAUGAUAUAUAUAUAGCUUUCAAAUAGUUGUUCUUCCAAACCAAAUAUACCCUCCAACUCCCACCACUUUCAUCUAUCUAUCCAUCCAUGGAAGUCAAACACUGGUGGCGCUUCCUACUUCUUCCAAUCGGAGUGGCACUGCUACUACUUCUCACAACCCUUCAACUUCCAUCACUUCCCAACAAGGACCCUCUGCACUGCAACCUAUACUCCACAUGGUGCAUCUCAAACAAUCGCUUCUUCUCAUCAUCACAGAGUAAUCCUAUCAACAAACCAUCAUCCCCUUCCUAUGAUCGUCACCUCUACCAUGAAUCACAAACCCCCCAACACCCUCUUGACCCUCUAACCAUCCAAGAGUUCAACAACAUCCGCACCAUCCUCUCUUCCAUCCCUCUUUUCAACUCCUCGUCACCCUACACUCUCAACUCCAUUGUCCUUCAAGAACCAGACAAAAAGCUUGUCCAAAAAUGGAAACAGGGUGAUCCCCUCUUGCCUAGGAAGGCUUCCGUGGUGGCACUUGUCAAGGGUGUGUCUCAUGUUCUCACCGUUGACCUCGAAACUGACAAGGUGACAAGCCACGAAACCGGUUCGGUUUCUGGGUACCCCAUCGUCACUGCAGAGGACCUGUUGGGAGUGCUAGAGGCUCCCCUCAGGUCCCCUCAGUUCAACAGCUUGUUCACCAAACGUGGUGUCGAUUUGGCAGAGCUGGUAUGCUUGCCAAUCUCUUCAGGGUGGUAUGAGAAAGCAGAGGAGGAGAACAGAAGGCUGAUGAAGGUGCAGUGCUAUUCCAAAGAAGGCACUGUGAACUUCUACAUGAAACCGAUUGAGGGUGUCACUGCUUUGGUUGACAUGGAUAGAAAAGAGGUGGUGGCUAUUUCAGAUGAUGGCCAAAACAUCCCUGUGGCUAAUGGUUCCAACACUGAUUACCGUUACUCCAUUCAGAAGCUCAAUGGGGAGUUGCGGCUGCUGAAUCCAAUAUCUUUGGAGCAGCCAAAAGGUCCAAGCUUUAGUGUUGAUGGGCACUUGGUGAAAUGGGCAAACUGGGAAUUUCACGUGAGACCUGACCCUAGAGCUGGGACCAUAAUCUCACAGGUGAAGGUGAGGGACCCUGACACAUCAAAACUGAGAAAUGUGAUGUACAAAGGGUUCACAUCUGAGCUAUUUGUGCCUUAUAUGGAUCCCACAGAAGGGUGGUACUUUAAGACGUACAUGGAUGCAGGUGAGUAUGGAUUGCAGGCAAUGCCUUUAAACCCCUUGAAUGAUUGCCCUCGGAAUGCUUACUAUAUGGAUGGUGUCUUUGCCUCUUCUGAUGGAACACCUUAUCUCCAACCCAACAUGAUUUGCAUUUUUGAGAGUUAUGCUGGUGACAUUGCUUGGAGACAUGCUGAGUGCCCCAUCACUGGCCUCAGGGUAAGCUUAACUCUCAUAACAGUGGCCCACACUCAUUAGAUAUAAAUAAAUUUCAUAAAAUUAGAUCCAAAUCUCAGAUUAUAAAUCGAUUUUAUAGGAUUGAAUUAAGCUUAAAGUCCACGUUAACAAGUUAUUGAUAUGAGGAGUGUCUUAUAGAUCACAAGGAGUGUUAUUUCCAACCUCUUAAGUGUGUGCUUGGUUUGACAUAAUGAACGUUAAAGACCUUAUAAUCCAAAAACAGACUGUUAAAAGCAAACCCCCACGUACUGUUAGUUUCUAAUUAUGGAUGGACACUUAAAUUAUGAAUUUUGACUAUUUUGUAGCUGCGUGUUCAUUAAAGAUUGUUCACUCUAUACAUAGUUGAAUGGAUUUUAUCUCUGAACUUUGUUUGGGUACAUGCUGUGGUGACAGGUUACAGAAUCAAGGCCAAAGGUGACAUUAGUGGUUAGGAUGGCAGCAACGUUGGGAAACUAUGACUACAUCAUGGAUUGGGAAUUUCAAACCGAUGGGCUAAUCAGAGCAAAGGUUAGCCAAGAAAAUUCAAUUUUAAUUCAACAUAUUCUUCUUUAGGAUUAAUGACAGUCCCAUAACCUUGCAGGCAUGUGUAUUAGAAACCGAUCGAAAUUUGAUGUGAUACACCUUGAAAAGUUUAUGCACACAACACAAGCACCCACUCCUAUAUUCACUUCAAAAGUUUUGGGAACAUAUUGAUACAUAAACAAAGAAAAUAUGAUAAAAACCAGUAACUUGGGUUUUUUUGCCAUUUAGAAUAAGGCAUGAUGAGACAACAAAUAAUUAUGCACUACGGUAAGAUGGGUUAACCUUUCUAUAUUGAUGAUCACGGUUUCUCUUCAUAUAUAUGUGUUUAGUAGUUUAUCAUAAUAUAAUACAUAGGCAUUUGUCUGAUGCAGGUUGGACUGAGUGGUAUGUUGAUGGUGAAAGGAACUACCUAUGAGAAUAUGGACCAAGUCCCUGAAAACGACUAUCUUUAUGGAACCCUUUUGAGUGAAAAUAUUAUUGGUGUGAUCCAUGAUCACUAUGUCACAUAUUACCUAGACAUGGACGUUGAUGGCUCAGACAAUUCAUUUGUUAGGGUGAAAAUGAAGAAGGAAGAGACGAGUUCAGGAGAAUCACCCAGAAAGAGUUAUUUAAAAGCUGUUAAAGAAGUGGCAAAGACAGAGAAAGAAGCUCAAAUAAGACUGAAACUGUAUGAGCCAUCAGAAUUUCAUGUGGUGAACCCAUUGAAGAAGACAAGGGUAGGGAACCCUGUGGGGUAUAAAUUGGUUCCAGGUGGCACAGCAGCUAGCCUGCUGGAUCCAGAAGACCCACCACAGAAAAGAGC
rnacentral:lncRNA from 1 species